AUUGCCUCCCACGUUCAGCCUGUACACAUUUUCAAGAGCAGUGCUGUUAUUGAUGUAAUAAAGAUUAUACUGCCCCACCAAUAUGAUGCCACCACUAUCUUCACGGAGAUAAAGAUCAGUUGGCAUGGAAACAAUCUCGAUCCCAUUAACAAAAGCGUAAGAGUUCGGCGAAGGAGAAAAGGUUAUAUUGAGUAUCUGAGUUUCAUCAACAUUGAUGACAUAUUCUUUUUGAAUUUUUAAACUAGAAUCGGUACUUGCAGCGACCGUGAGGAAAGCGCUGAAGUUACUCAAGAGGGUAAACUGAUUAGCUGUUACAGAGAAAAAGGAUUCGGAUUUGUUGAAGCCAAGGUAUGUGGUGGGGUAAAAAUAGAGACGGAGGAAACUAGUGCCAGGAGGAACACGGAAAGGGUAGGUGAAUUUAGAUUUGAAAAUACGAGCAUUCGUAUAAGGGACUCUAGAAACUGAAGAGUCUUGUUCAGAGGCUGUGGCUGGUGAUGAUAUGGUUGAUGAAUUGGAAGGUAACAAAUUGGGAUAGUGGGUAUCAGUAUCCCAUCGACGGCCAUCUUCAUCAGUGGCGACUGAUGGUGCGCCACAGUUGAGCAAGAAAUAUACUGUGGCAUUAUACGAUGAAGGCGUGACAGAAAUAGUGGCCGUUAUGAGUUGUAAGAGGAGAAAUGAAAUCAAAGCAAUGGCAACCAUGGUUGUGGUGGUUAUGAAAGUAAAAUACUACUAUGGAUUUGGUGUGUAGAUAGAUAUUAGUUAGAUGAAGUAAUAAUUAUACUCAACAAUAGCAAAGACUUGAGGGUUGACUCUCAAGUCAUUUUUGCUACUGUAAUUCUUAAUUUUGUAUGGCUGAAAGCCGACGUAGACCGAAAUAGUGUCCUUUGUCAUCAUUCGUUUAUUUUACUUUUUUGUUCAAGUAUUGUACAAAAUGAAAUAGCCUAGUAUUCAGUCUUCCGUACUUCUUGUGUUAUUAUAUAAUACUUAGUCUUUUUUUAAUUCAUUUAAAAAAGAAUGUUAAAUUUUUUUUUUUUUUUUUUGCUAACUAUUUAAAGAUAGAAUUUCAUGUUUACUCUUAUUGAUCCCACUUAUAAUGACCGACUUAAUUAAAAAUAGUAGUAGUAUAUUUUUUUAAUAAAAGAUAAUUUGAUAAAAAUUCAUCAAGUCUUUUCUUAUUUAUUAAACUCUAUAGUCUAUAUCCAGUCAAACUAUGACACAUAAAAUAAAACGCAGAAAGCAUUAUUUUCCUUUAUAAGUACUCACUGUAGCCCAACUUUCAUGACAUCGAUAAACUUUGACAAAGUAUUUAAGAAAUAAAGAAAUACGUUGAAAAUUUAUAGUCUAAAAUAAAUAUUUUAUUAUAAAAAUGGAAGUUUAAAGUUAAUUUAUUUUUGUUUAUAGAAAUAUGGCAUUUUUUGGGGAUAAAUUAAAACAAAAUGAGUCAUAGAAGUUGGAAUAACGAGAGUAAUUAAUUGACAAGAAAAGAUCAAUAUAUUUCAUUUAAGAAAUGAGUUAACUUUAAAUUUUUAGUUUUAAUAAGUAAUUUAUAGUCAGACAAGAAAGCAAAUCAUUAUAUAUUAACAUUACCUACUAGUGACAAUCAAAACCUACCCAUCAAGGUGACUUUACUGUUUAAGUGCGCAAAGUUUAGUUACUUCAAUAUGAUUAAAUAAUAUACAAGUUUACUGUUAUACCGUAUAAAGUUCAGUGACUAUGAGUGAGAUUAAAUGUAUACCUGUAUGGAGAUAACACAAUCCUUUUGCUGCGCCAAUGCAAAUCUCAAGGCGUUUCCUCCAUGGAAGAGGAGCAUUAUCAGCUUUGUACAAGUGAUCACGGAGAGUUCCAUGAGCCAUGUAAUCAUAAACCAAAAUCAUCUCAUUGUUAUCAUCACAAUAACCAAUUAAGGAUACCAAAUGCAGAUGUCUUAGCUUUGAUAACAUGUGAAUCUCUGUCUCAAACUCGCGAACUCCUUGCUUUGAUGAAGGAUUCAAUCUCUUGAUUGCAACUGUGGUUGUGCCGUUGUCUAUGUACCCUUUGUACACAUUACCGAAACCUCCAUACCCAAUCACAAAAUUGUCAUCAAAAUUUCCUGUUGCAGCUUUUAUCUCCUCCAGUAAAAAGUGUCGAGGGUAAUGAUGAUGAGCCUGACCCGCUGGUCCUUUGGGUUGAGUUCGAUGUAAUUGAUAAAGGGAUCCACGAUGAUUUUGUAACGCUUGUAUGCAGAUCCUUUCCCUUUUUCCUCCGCUGGAAAAUCAAGAAACAUAGAAUUGACAACAGAGCAAUUCCACUAAUCACACCUGCUGUGAUAACAACAAAGACAUGCCAUUUCUUUUUCUUUUUUUCCUUUGGGGUUGAAUUCUCUGGAACUUCUAACCGCGAUUCAGGAUUUGGGACGGAAAAAUUUCCUUUUCGAUCGCUCAACUUGAAAAUUUCUAAGCCAUUUAAGAUAGCAUUUUCAUACACAGCUUUUGUUUCCAUGUUAGGUCGCAAUUCAAGCGACACAUCUUUCUUGCCUCGUCGGCCAUCUGGAUCUCUCACAAACACCACGUAGUCUGUGUACAUCGGGACUCUCCAGCCGCGACUCCGUUGAAUCACAUCGACUAGUUGAUCUGCCGUUUGGUUUCCAAUGAGUAUAUCGAAAACCCGAUAGUUCUGUUCCUUAACUUCCAGCUGAAUCUCACAAAAAUGGAGCCUGAAAAGAUAGUAGAACCCAGCGUCAAGAGGAAAAAUCCAAUCCAGGCUCUGGCUGUAAUUGGCGAUGGUCCUAGAGGUUGUGUAAACUAUGUUUGGCGCCGUAUAAGCCGGGGUUUCAGAAGUGUAAUUAAUGUUGACAUCUAUAUGAGGAGUUUGAUAGUCAUAUCCAACAACAAAGUCUUCAUCUGAAUCCCAUACCCGAUACAUGCCUGUAUCCCCUGUGCUCGAAACCAAAUUGCCUCCCACGUUCAGCCUGUACACAUUUUCAAGAGCAGUGCUGUUAUUGAUGUAAUAAAGAUUAUACUGCCCCACCAAUAUGAUGCCACCACUAUCUUCACGGAGAUAAAGAUCAGUUGGCAUGGAAACAAUCUCGAUCCCAUUAACAAAAGCGUAAGAGUUCGGCGAAGGAGAAAAGGUUAUAUUGAGUAUCUGAGUUUCAUCAACAUUGAUGACAUAUUCUUUUUGAAUUUUUAAACUAGAAUCGGUACUUGCAGCGACCGUGAGGAAAGCGCUGAAGUUACUCAAGAGGGUAAACUGAUUAGCUGUUACAGAGAAAAAGGAUUCGGAUUUGUUGAAGCCAAG
rnacentral:lncRNA from 1 species